rnacentral:rRNA from 1 species
GACGAACGCUGGCGGCGUGCCUAAUACAUGCAAGUAGAACGCUGAAGGAGGAGCUUGCUUCUCUGGAUGAGUUGCGAACGGGUGAGUAACGCGUAGGUAACCUGCCUGGUAGCGGGGGAUAACUAUUGGAAACGAUAGCUAAUACCGCAUAACAUUGACUAUUGCAUGAUAGUCAGUUAAAAGGUGCAAUUGCACCACUACCAGAUGGACCUGCGUUGUAUUAGCUAGUUGGUGGGGUAACGGCUCACCAAGGCGACGAUACAUAGCCGACCUGAGAGGGUGAUCGGCCACACUGGGACUGAGACACGGCCCAGACUCCUACGGGAGGCAGCAGUAGGGAAUCUUCGGCAAUGGACGGAAGUCUGACCGAGCAACGCCGCGUGAGUGAAGAAGGUUUUCGGAUCGUAAAGCUCUGUUGUAAGAGAAGAACGAGUGUGAGAGUGGAAA